rnacentral:rRNA from 1 species
UGGCUCAGGACGAACGCGGGCGGCAUGCCUAAUACAUGCAAGUCGAGCGGAGUAAGAAUGGAAGCUUGCUUCCAUUCUUACUUAGCGGCGGACGGGUGAGUAACACGUAGGCAACCUGCCCUCAAGACUGGGAUAACUACCGGAAACGGUAGCUAAUACCGGAUAAUUUCUUUCCUCUCCUGAAGAGAGAAUGAAAGGCGGAGCAAUCUGCCACUUGGGGAUGGGCCUGCGGCGCAUUAGCUAGUUGGUGGGGUAACGGCUCACCAAGGCGACGAUGCGUAGCCGACCUGAGAGGGUGAACGGCCACACUGGGACUGAGACACGGCCCAGACUCCUACGGGAGGCAGCAGUAGGGAAUCUUCCGCAAUGGGCGAAAGCCUGACGGAGCAAUGCCGCGUGAGUGAUGAAGGUUUUCGGAUCGUAAAGCUCUGUUGCCAGGGAAGAACGUCCGGUAGAGUAACUGCUACCGGAGUGACGGUACCUGAGAAGAAAGCCCCCGG